UCCUCCUUAGCUCAGUUGGUUAGAGCAUCUGACUGUUAAUCAGAGGGUCGUCCGUUCAAGUCGGACAGGGGGAGCCA
rnacentral:tRNA from 1 species